rnacentral:rRNA from 1 species
UACGUAGGGUGCGAGCGUUAAUCGGAAUUACUGGGCGUAAAACGUGCGCAGGCGGUUUUGUAAGCCAGAUGUGAAAUCCCCGGGCUCAACCUGGGAAUGGCAUUUGGGACUGCAAGGCUGGAGUUUGGCAGAGGAGACUGGAAUUCCUGGUGUAGCAGUGAAAUGCGUAGAUAUCAGGAGGAACACCGAUGGCGAAGGCAGGUCUCUGGGCUGAAACUGACGCUCAAGCACGAAAGCGUGGGGAGCAAACAGG